rnacentral:lncRNA from 1 species
CUCUGGGGUGCAGCCCGGGGGUGCAGGUCCGUGGGGGAGACGCAUGGCUCUAAGCCAGAAGUCCUCCCUCUCGGCCGUGCCUCCAAAUCAAGGUUUUGCAGGCGAUAGAACACUUUCUUUCUUCUAACCUCACACUCUUGUUUACGAGGCUUUUGGGCGCUUCAGGGUUACAUCCAGCCGUGGUGCUCCCUGUGCCUCCAGGCUCUCGGGGGGCUCCCCUGUGCAGGCUGGCCAGAGUGGUGGCGGUGAGGGCAGGCCCCAGCAUUCUGCAGCUUUUGGAGGGAUGCACCCGACACCCCGCUCCGUGAGCCCAGCCGGGGCGGUUCUCUUUCACUGUUUUCAUGUCACAGCUAUGCUGGUUUCACAAAGUCCUUUCGUUUUCCAUCUGAGAGAAGAAAUCAAGCAUCUGCAAUUACUGGCUGGUUGAAGCUGUGAAGUGACCAUGCAUGAACCCGGGUCUUGAGUGGCUCUUUCCCUGGCUGCAGGAGUGGCUCCCAUUAAAGCGAGCUGCUCAGAUGGUUUAUCUUCAGAAAGUGACCCUGAUGGCUGCUGAUGCACAAGUGGAAUAGUUUCAGCCAGAUGAUGCAGCGGCCACCUACCUUGUUCUACAAAGAGCCAUCCCUGCGUGUCCUCAUCGUAGCUGCUCACACUCCGGGAUCACAGCCUGUGGCAUUGCUCAGCUGGUGAGUUUGUAUGUUUCCUGAAGAUUUGCUCCUCUCUGCUCAGUGUGGACUCCACUGCGAGCAGCAGUGGUUUCACAGGCGCCAGGCAUUUGGGAGGAUGGACAUUUUGCUGUACAGUCUGGAUGGGCUUGGAAGCAUGUUGAUCGCCUUUUUCUGGGAAGAGGAAAAAAGAAGGUGUGCUGUGAGACGUGGAGAGAGAGAAGGAAGAAAGGACGAGGAGGGGUAAAGAGAGAGGUUUGAGGGUGGUGUCCCCAUGCCAGCAUGGCCACAGUGGCUGCAUUUCAAUUAAUUUUCAUCCUUUUGUUUGAGAUGGGGGUGUAGCCAUGGGCCAAGACAUUGGAACAUAUUUUCUAAAUCUUCCUCCAAAUGUGCAAGUAAUCAGAGCUUACAGACUUUUACGUAGCCACAGUUCCUCAAAGUCUCAAAUCUCUUUCCUUACCUGUAAAAUGGAGAUAAAUAAUCUCUAUUUCACAAAGAUUUAUUUUGAGGCAAAAUAAAAGAAUAACUGUGAAUAGUGCUCUGAAAAGGAUAAAGUAGCUGUGUCAACCUGCCUUAAUAUUUAAUCCCCUUGAAACAGCUGGCUGGCAAAUCAGGCGAGGGCUGUCACUGAGCCAGGCACAGGAGCAUUUAAGGGGUUCCCAUCUUGACUCUAGAUGUGGGCCCUGCGGUCUGGGCCGUGGCCACCGCAGGGGUCAUUAACUGUUGCCCAGUGGAGGGCAUGUGCUUCCCUCUCGUGCUGGCUGACUGCACCGCCUCCUGGGCCGUUACGUUUAUCACUGUGCAAAUUAUCCUCAGUGAUGGCACGGGACAGCGGCCUUGGCAGCCCAGUGUCAGCAUCUGACACAGCGGGCAGGGACACCUUUUGCUGCAUGUGCUUGGGGGCUGGGGACGUCCUCAGAGGCCCUUUCUACUCAACCGUCCCCGAGCUGACUCUGUGGGACAAGGAGGCUGCAAAAUGACCCCAGCACAGCCCCCUCCACAUGAGUUCCAUGGUGUCUUCUUUCUGUACUUCAUUCACUCUUUCAUUUGAAGAGGUUCCAGGGAGGCUGCAG